rnacentral:tRNA from 3 species
GGGUCGAUGCCCGAGGGGUUAAUGGGGACGGACUGUAAAUUCGUUGGCGAUAUGUCUACGCUGGUUCAAAUCCAGCUCGGCCCA